rnacentral:sRNA from 1 species
ACUGGCCUGCAAGGCAGGUAUGGCGAAUCACGCUGGUUGAACCAACAUUCAUUGAACAGGGGCUUAGCUCGUAUACAUGGUUCGGUGCGCAAUGUCCGCCAGUCCGGAAUGCCUAAAGAGCCACGGCCGAGUCCCGCCGUCCUAGACGGGUUCACCAGCGCCUCGCUGCACGGCUGAGCGGGUCAGUU